ACCUCAGAUUCGGAGCCACUGGUCCCCCUCAAUGUCUUGCUGUCUCCUCUGGGGACCUGGAAAGUCACCUGACACUAGAGACACUAGACACCGGGAAGGGGGGAGGGAAGAGAAGCUCUAUUUGGAGGAGGCACCUGAGAAGAUGAUAGAUAAGUUGUCGGGAGGAGGAGCCAAGAUGGCCGAAUAGGAACAGCUCCGGUCUACAGCUCCCAGCGUGAGCGACACAGAAGACGGGUGAUUUCUGCAUUUCCAUCUG
rnacentral:lncRNA from 1 species